CCUUCUUGAUAAUAUUAAAAUUUUGGAAAGAUUGUUCUUGAUUGAUUCUUUUACCAAAAUUAAACCCUAGCUCCUAGUAUAAAUAGCACCCUUUUUCAUUCUCUUCCUCACACCUAUAAACCACCGAAUUCUCUCUGCUGGAGAGGUAAAUAACUCAUCCUCUCAUUUCCCUUAUAUUUUUCUCUGUAUUUUUUUCUUUUUAUUAAUCCAAUCUCGAAAGAAAAGACAACCUUUUUUCUUAUUUUUAAGUCUUGUCUUUAGAAGAAAACUUUAUGAUGAUAGUGAGUCUUCAAUUUUCAAAUGUCAGAGUAUUAUAAUUGUUUUAUCACUACGUGUAUCUUAUUUCCAAUUCCCAUGAAUAUACUUAAU
rnacentral:lncRNA from 1 species